GACGAACGCUGGCGGCGUGCCUAAUACAUGCAAGUCGAGCGGAUUGAUGGGAGCUUGCUCCCUGAUAUCAGCGGCGGACGGGUGAGUAACACGUGGGCAACCUGCCUAUAAGACUGGGAUAACUUCGGGAAACCGGAGCUAAUACCGGAUCAUUCCUUUCCUCACAUGGGGGAAGGCUAAAAGAUGGUUUACGCUAUCACUUAUAGAUGGGCCCGCGGCGCAUAGCUAGUUGGUGAGGUAAUGGCUCACCAAGGCAACGAUGCGUAGCCGACCUGAGAGGGUGAUCGGCCACACUGGGACUGAGACACGGCCCAGACUCC
rnacentral:rRNA from 1 species